CCGCCCGCGCGCUCGCUGGCUCUCCCCGGACUGAGCCUAAUUGAUCCAGACUUCCUCGGAAAAUGCCCGAGGAACAGGACUCCUCCGGCCGUAUUUGCGCGAGCGCGAGCGCACAUACAUCGUGCCUUGGAUGCCUCCCGCCAGCCCCCCGAAAAAGGGAGGAGGCUGGAAGGCAGAAGCGCGUGGGAGGACACUGAGGCUCGCCAGAAGGGACGGGCCAGCCCAGGACGCCAGCCUGAAUCUUCUCGGGAAACUCCUUUCUGUUCUCUUACAGUCUACGCUAUAGGAGACAAAACGCCAGCCGAGAAAAGCUCGCUGAGUUUGGAGCUGAGGCUACUGCUUUCUCCCAAGGGUUCUCUUCGAGCCCCUUCCCGAACGGAUCAAAACUUUUUUACUCCCUUCUCCCUCCCCCUUCCUCUAGUGGCUGAUUGCAGAGGACUAAAAAUAUCUUGGGGCCCGCUAUCUCAGCACUUACGGUCUUUAUUUAUUUAUUUCAUUCCAGGGAAAGUUACAGAGCCUGCGGGAAGCUCCGGCUGCAACUUCAGUUCUGACCAGAGGUUCUGUGAACCUUCAGGAUUUAGCAGGUUUCCAGGACCGGUGGGUGAAUCUACCCGGGGAAGUUUUGGUGGACAAGAGCUGCUCGCCAGCUGUCGGAGUGGGAGAGGCCAGCGUGCUGGCUCCAUCCACUUCACCUAACACCUCUGAAGUGUCUGCCCUGCAGUGUGGCAAGCGUGGUGCUGAGCGCUUCUAAAUCCGUCGCUUUAAAGAUCAUUAGUACAAUGUUGUGAGAGGGUUAGCUCCAUUUGAAAAUUAUUUUCCCGUGAUUACAAAAGAAGCGAUGCUGACUGCAGAAGUUAGAACUGGGAGAAGACUCAUCACCCCCAUGAUCAUGUCAACAACUGCCCUCCUUCAGUUUUGGUUUGUUUUGUGUGUACACUCUGUCAUCUUUCCAUUGAGGAAACUCAGGCUAGAAGAAGGAUAAAAACAAAACAGAAAACAAAACAAAACAAAAGUGCCCUGUAGGGUCCUGUAGGCUAUAGACAUUCCUAAGAAACACGCAGUCAGCUUUUGGUGAGAGUGGAAUCAAGCUAUGGAAUUCUCAUUUGGAAUCUGCUUCCAGUUUCUGAACAGUGAAGCGGGAGAGUUCUGAACAGUAAAGCAGGAGCUCUGUAUUCAGCGAGACUCUGGGGCCUGGAAAGUGGGAUUACAGCAUCCAUUUUGUCUAAUUGCUUUCCUUCUUUCUUUUAUGUGGCUGCUAAAGCCCCAUGACCUUCACUAUUUAACUGCUUCAUCAGAGUGAAAGAAUUGCCUUGAUGUUCAUAAGGAUUACUUGUUUCACACUGACCUUUAAAAAGUUGUCACUCACUAGAUUUUUCAGUGCAUGGUUGAGGUCACUGGACAGUGUUCUUUAAUCAGUUUUGGUGGCAUUUGUUGCCUAUUUGAGGUGGAGACUUUCUUUUAAUUGCUUUAAUCAAUUAAUGCAUUGCUUUGAUAGGAUUCUGCAUGGGGUGGAAUAUUAUUGGCCUUUGUUCAGAUAAGCUUGUGCCAGGGAAUCCUCCAUCAGUAUAUUCAUUAAACUGCUCAUGGGCUCUCAGAUAAUGGGUAGGAAACAAAUUCUUUCACCAAAGGUGUGUGGGCUUGUCAGUUUCACAGAAUGAGCUAGUGUCAACAGGGUGAUAAUCUUCAAACCAAACUGGUUUUGAGAAACAGAGAAGUUCUGUCCUACACCAUAAAUGUAAAUUAGUGCUUACUUGGGGUGUACACUUUUUUGGAGAUGUUCUACCACCCCUCGGGUGGUCUCCCAGAUGGCAGAUUGAGAGGUUGUUGCUGAAAUGCUACAGCUGAGGCCACAGAGAAGCCAUAGCCUACUGUGGAUUGGCCUCUUUAGGCAAAAGGAAAGUCUGUGCCACUCCUCAAUGGUUAAUUUUAGUAUCAAAAUUCUUGGAGGUUAGAAAAAAAAUCCUACAAUGUCAGAGCUGGCAAGACUAUUAUUUCAGUCACCAAACUUAACAGGAGAAACGAGAGCCAAAAAUAUUAGGAAAAAGGAGUUGAGGGCAGAGUUACUCAACCUUGGUACUACUGACAUUUUCAUUCAAAUAAUUAUUUGUUGUGGUGUGUGUGGGGGUGGGGGGUUGGUUAUCGUCUGCAUUGCAGGAUAUUUAGGAGCAUCUCUGGCCACUAUCCAAUAGACAUAGUAACAACCCCUUGUUGUGACAACCAGGUUGAGAACCACAGUUUUAAGGAAGCUUUCUGCUCAUUACUGAAGUCAGGCAAUGCUGUCAGCCCACAUUUUCUGCUGGCUGUGGAACCACCUGGUGAAUGCUGCACAGUGAGAGAGGGAUGUUAUUAUAAAUCGAAAACUCAAGGCACCAUACCAAUAAACAUGAAUAAAAACUGUAGGAAGAUGAAUGUUUGGUGUGGCAGGCCUCCUGAGAAAAGUAGCUGAUUUUUCUGACAUGGAUUAGAUACUUACUCAACCGUCCCAGAAACAUCUGAGUGUUUAUAUAUGGAUGAAUUCCUUGUGGACAGCUGGAUUGGUCACUUUGCAAAUUAUUUUUGCGACUUCCACUACCUCUUGCUCUUACCCCUUCCUUUUAUCAUCUGAUUCUGCACUUUCUAACCAAAAUGUGGCCCCAAGCCUAAUAAAAAUACUAUUUCUAUAUUCACCACGAUCCCAUUCUGAUUUUAAACUCUGUUUUUAGUGUUCUUUCCAUCAGCAUGUUUAAUCAGAAGUUGAUAAUAAUAUCUACCACUUUUUUGGGAACUGUUACUAGGUAUCAGGCACUGUGCUCAGCACUUGACCUUCAUUGUCUCAUUAAUCCUCACUGCACAUAGAGAGGUAGAUAUGUUGUCCACCCUGUUUUACAGAUGGAGAGACUGAGGUUUAUAGAGGUUACAUAAGAUAUCUAAGUAGGCGUAGGUACCUUAUAAGGUUACAUAAGGUAUGCCUCCAGUCAGGGAUGUCAACAGGAGAAUUUCAGAACCCUCACUCUUAAUCACCAUAAGCAUUAUGCGUCUCCUCCAUAAGCUCCAGCUCAGGAGGCACUCCCUUACAAAUGAUAUGGAUAAGAACUCCACCCCUCCAUGUUUGCUGGUUAUCAAUCCUCAGCUGCUCGUAGGGUCUGGAUAAUUUGUGGCUUCAGUACUAGAAAAAACAAACAAAAAGAAAGUCAAGGGUUUUUA
rnacentral:lncRNA from 10 species